ACUCCUACGGGAGGCAGCAGUGGGGAAUAUUGCACAAUGGGCGCAAGCCUGAUGCAGCCAUGCCGCGUGUGUGAAGAAGGCCUUCGGUUGUAAAGCACUUUCAGUCGUGAGGAAGGUAGUGUAGUUAAUAGCUGCAUUAUUUGUACGUUAGCGACAGAAGAAGCACCGGCUAACUCCGUGCCAGCAGCCGCGGUAAUACGGAGGGUGCGAGCGUUAAUCGGAAUUACUGGGCGUAAAGCGCAUGCAGGUGGUUUGUUAAGUCAGAUGUGAAAGCCCGGGGCUCAACCUCGGAAUAGCAUUUGAAACUGGCAGACUAGAGUACUGUAGAGGGGGUAGAAUUUCAGGUGUAGCGGUGAAAUGCGUAGAGAUCUGAAGGAAUACCGGUGGCGAAGGCGGCCCCCUGGACAGAUACUGACACUCAGAUGCGAAAGCGU
rnacentral:rRNA from 1 species